rnacentral:rRNA from 1 species
UACGUAGGUGGCAAGCGUUAUCCGGAUUUAUUGGGCGUAAAGCGAGCGCAGGCGGUCGCUUAGGUCUGAUGUGAAAGCCUUCGGCUUAACCGAAGAAGUGCAUCGGAAACCGGGCGACUUGAGUGCAGAAGAGGAGAGUGGAACUCCAUGUGUAGCGGUGAAAUGCGUAGAUAUAUGGAAGAACACCAGUGGCGAAAGCGGCUCUCUGGUCUGUAACUGACGCUGAGGUUCGAAAGCGUGGGUAGCAAACAGG